GCCAGUAUGGCGUAGUGUUCUGAGUGUUGGACUACGACUCUGGAGAGACCAGGGUUCGAUUCCCAGCUCGGUCA